rnacentral:rRNA from 1 species
GACGAACGCUGGCGGCGUGCCUAAUACAUGCAAGUAGAACGCACAGUUUAUACCGUAGCUUGCUACACCAUAGACUGUGAGUUGCGAACGGGUGAGUAACGCGUAGGUAACCUGCCUGGUAGCGGGGGAUAACUAUUGGAAACGAUAGCUAAUACCGCAUAAUAUUGAUUAUUGCAUGAUAAUUGAUUGAAAGAUGCUAUUGCACCACUACCAGAUGGACCUGCGUUGUAUUAGCUAGUAGGUGAGGUAACGGCUCACCUAGGCGACGAUACAUAGCCGACCUGAGAGGGUGAUCGGCCACACUGGGACUGAGACACGGCCCAGACUCCUACGGGAGGCAGCAGUAGGGAAUCUUCGGCAAUGGACGAAAGUCUGACCGAGCAACGCCGCGUGAGUGAAGAAGGUUUUCGGAUCGUAAAGCUCUGUUGUAAGAGAAGAACGGGUGUGAGAGUGGAAAGUUCACACUGUGACGGUAUCUUACCAGAAAGGGACGGCUAACUACGUG